ACUAUGCAGUGGGGUAAUUCAGCACAGGAAAUGAGAUGGGUUUAGAGCGAGUGCAAUGUCUGUCGGUCUGUCGUCUGCAGGCCCUCCCUGCCUCUCUGUCUGUCUAUCCAUCCUUUUCAUCAACCGUCAUGCUAUGGAAAGAUAAUACCUAACAUUACUCAAAAUUUUUUUGCAAAUUACUGCUUUCCAGCUUUAUACUAUGAACUAAAAAAAAUUAGUAACCGUACAUCUAACAAUUUAUUUUUAUUAUGUACUACAUUCUUCACGUUUAUUGCGACCCAUAAAAAGAUAUAUACCUGUGAGCUCUCGCAAAACGACGUAGUGAAAUUUUGACAUUAAAACUUUAUCUUUUGCUAUAUACAAGCGACUGGCAUCAAUUUUUUAUGCUUGACAGAGAUUUAUGAGUAUUAGUAAUGUAUAGAAAUGGGUAUUCUAUCUACGAUCAUUGCUGUUGCUUUUCAGCUUACGUAAUAGUCUGAAGUGAUGAAGAAGCAACUGAACAACUGGCAACGUUGGAUCCAGCUUAAGUUCUUUCCAGCUGCCUUUGAUGUAAUUUAUGUGCCUUAAAUUCCAGUGUUCUGUUGUAUAUAUUUUUUAAAUUCACUUCUUCAACCAAGGAUAAAUUUAUUGGUUUCGAAGUAUAAAGAAGUAAUUUUUGCAACUUAUUUUUAGAACUGUAAUAAGUAAAAUUGAAUAGUAAUUUUCUUAAUGGACAUAAAUAUAAUGAAUUAGCUAUAUCAUGUUAGAUACAGACUUCAUAUACAUACAUACAUGUCUGAUCAACUUAAAUUCUGAGAAUGUUAUGUUCACUGUAUGUAUGUGUUUGUGCUCGUGAGUUAAUACUGACCUUACCAGACUUCGGAUGUUGCUAGGCAACAGUUCGUUCUGACUGAACUCGAUCUGUUGCAACGUUGCCAAUGUGCUCAUGGCGUGUGGGUUGAACAAAAUCAGCAGCUCAAGGCUAUUUUGUUUGUAUGCUUGAUGAAUCAUAGUUGUGGUUGUAUAAACCUUUACAAUCUUUUUUCUUCAACAACAGCCGGAAAGCUUGGAAAAGCUGAAUGAUUUAUGAUCGCCUAGCUCAUAUAAUGACGACUGUUGGAAACUCAUCAUACAAAUAAUGCUAACUCAUGGAACUUUUAGAAAUGUGAUAUUUAAAAAGGAGAAAAAUCAUGAUGGAAAAUGCUUUUUAAUAGCAGCUAUUUAAAAUGUACAUACAUAGAUAAAAAGUUUGGGAUAAUAAUGGUAACAGAAAACUCGAGUGUAAAGAAAAAAAAUGUGAUAAAAAAUUUCAGAAUCAGAAAAAACUUCAAAUUCAUAAAAAAAAUUUAUGUAAUAUAUGUGCUAUGUACAAGAGGUAGAAAUUGUAUUGAUCCAGCAAAAAUUUUUUACCUAAAAGUUGUUGUGUGAGUUUAAAAUUGAAUUCUAAAGGUAGUUUCAGUGGUGUUGUACAUAUGUGCUAAC